GACGAACGCUGGCGGCGUGCCUAAUACAUGCAAGUAGAACGCUGAAGGAGGAGCUUGCUUCUCUGGAUGAGUUGCGAACGGGUGAGUAACGCGUAGGUAACCUGCCUGGUAGCGGGGGAUAACUAUUGGAAACGAUAGCUAAUACCGCAUAAGAGUAGAUGUUGCAUGACAUUUGCUUAAAAGGUGCAAUUGCAUCACUACCAGAUGGACCUGCGUUGUAUUAGCUAGUUGGUGGGGUAACGGCUUACCAAAGCGACGAUACAUAGCCGACCUGGGAGGGGGAACCGCCACACUGGGACUGGAACACCGGCCAGACUCCUACGGGAGGCAGCAGUAGGGGAUCUUCGGCAAUGGACGGAAGUCUGACCGAGCAACGCCGCGGGAGUGAAGAAGGUUGUCGGAUCGUAAAGCUCUGUUGUAAGGGAAGAACGAGUGUGGGAGUGGAAAGUUCACACUGUGACGGUAUCUUACCAGAAAGGGACGGCUAACUACGUG
rnacentral:rRNA from 1 species